rnacentral:rRNA from 1 species
AGUGAACGCUGGCGGUAGGCCUAACACAUGCAAGUCGAACGGAAGCACAGUAAGAGCUUGCUCUUACGGGUGGCGAGUGGCGGACGGGUGAGGAAUACAUCGGAAUCUACUUUUUCGUGGGGGAUAACGUAGGGAAACUUACGCUAAUACCGCAUACGACCUACGGGUGAAAGCAGGGGAUCUUCGGACCUUGCGCGAUAGAAUGAGCCGAUGUCGGAUUAGAUAGUUGGCGGGGUAAAGGCCCACCAAGGCGACGAUCCGUAGCUGGUCUGAGAGGAUGAUCAGCCACACUGGAACUGAGACACGGUCCAGACUCCUACGGGAGGCAGCAGUGGGGAAUAUUGGACAAUGGGCGCAAGCCUGAUCCAGCCAUACCGCGUGGGUGAAGAAGGCCUUCGGGUUGUAAAGCCCUUUUGUUGGGAAAGAAAAGCAGCAGGUUAAUACCCCGCUGUUCUGACGGUACCCAAAGAAUAAGCACCGGCUAACUUCGUG